rnacentral:rRNA from 1 species
CCCCUAGAGGAGCCUGUUCUAUAAUCGAUAAUCCACGAUCUACCUCACCAUCUCUUGCCAAUACCGCCUAUAUACCGCCGUCACCAGCCUACCCUAUGAAGGAUAUAAAAGUAGGCAAAAUCGCACAACAGCUAACAAGUCAGGUCAAGGUGUAGCUUACUGAGAUGGAAGAAAUGGGCUACAUUUUCUAAACUAGAAAUCAUUUCACGGAAAGAACUAUGAAACAAGUCCUAAAAGCAGGAUUUAGCAGUAAAUAGGGAUCAGAAUGCCCAAUUUAAGCCGGUCCUAAGGUACGC